rnacentral:rRNA from 1 species
UACAGGGGGUGCAAACGUUGCUCGGAAUCAUUGGGCGUAAAGCGCACGUAGGCGGUUCGUUAUGUCGGAUGUGAAAGCCCUUGGCUUAACCGAGGAAGUGCAUCCGAAACUGGCGAGCUAGAGUAUGGGAGAGGUGAGUGGAAUUUCCGGUGUAGCGGUGAAAUGCGUAGAUAUCGGAAGGAACACCUGUGGCGAAAGCGGCUCACUGGACCAUUACUGACGCUGAUGCACGAAAGCUAGGGGAGCAAACAGG